rnacentral:rRNA from 1 species
GAUGAACGCUGGCGGCGUGCCUAACACAUGCAAGGUCGAGCGCGAUUAAGUGGAGUGAGAACUUCGGUUCAAGUGAAAUUUAUGAAAGCGGCGGACGGGUGAGUAACGCGUGGGUAACCUGCCCCAUACAAAGGGAUAGCCACUGGAAACGGUGAUUAAUACCUUAUAAGCCGGUAGUCUCGCAUGAGACAGCCGACAAAGAUUUAUCGGUAUGGGAUGGACCCGCGUCUGAUUAGCUAGUUGGUGAGGUAACGGCUCACCAAGGCGACGAUCAGUAGCCGACCUGAGAGGGUGGUCGGCCACACUGGAACUGAGACACGGUCCAGACUCCUACGGGAGGCAGCAGUGGGGAAUAUUGCACAAUGGGCGCAAGCCUGAUGCAGCAACGCCGCGUGAGUGAUGAAGGCUUUCGGGUCGUAAAACUCUGUCCUAUGGGAAGAAAAAAUAGACGGUACCAUAGGAGGAAGCCCCGGCUAACUACGUGCCAGCAGCCGCGG